ACCACGCUCGUGCCCACAGAGCGGCUGGCCCUACACAUGCCGGUGGCAGGGGGUGGGGUCAAAGCAGUUCUGACGGCGACACUGGGACCCCUUCUGGUGCUCUGUGGUCAAUCCUGUGGGGCACUGGGCCUUUAACUCGCGACAGUUUUGUGAGGAGCCCUUUCUGCAACACGCAGCGUUUUUAUGUAAACAGUUCCCGUCUUCCCCUCAGGAUGGAUCUGCAGGCGCGACUUGCAGAGAACUUGACGCUGCCCAGGAGUGACAAGUUGUCAACACGCAGGAGUGGGUGGAGGUCCUGUCAGGGCACGCGUUGCUGUGGGGAAGUGACUUGUGGGAUGGCUGUGAAGGCCCUCGGCUUGCCAUAAUUGUAUAGGGGGUUGUUUGGGAGUGAAAAUGUUUAUAACUUGAUCUCGGCAUUGAACAAUUGGGGCUCUUCAUUCCUCCUCCCACCUCAAAGGGAUGUGAAUCUUAACUGAAGUUGUCAUUCACAUUUUUCUUUAGGAGGAAGAGGGGAAGGAGGUCUGGGCAGCUUUAAUAGAGCAUUUACAGCAGCUAUCAUAUCAUGGAACGAGCAUCUUAAAAUUGUUUUGCCCUCAUAGAGAAAACCAGCAGAGAGAGAUGCUUGGGUGUGCUCACGCAUGUGUUACACACAGAUGCUCGUGCUUCUGUUUCCCUGUCACGCGUGCUUAUGGGAAAGAUUUCUAAGAUCAUAGAACCAUAACCCUGUUCUGCAUGGACAAGCAGGGCUAACAGCUUAAAUAGUCUUGAAAUUUUAGAUACACAAUCCCACGGAUGAUCCAGAAACUACUUCCCAUAAAAGGAGAUGGCACAUACGCAUCCCUGGGGAAACACGGUCUCCGUGGGAGGGAUGAGAUACACGCCUGCAAGGGGUGCAGCCGCCGCUCUCAGAGACAAGAUGCAAACUGUCAAAGGCGGCAGCAUCCCGGGGUGCACCCCCAGUGGGGAGCGGGACGUCUUCCUCGCAGGCAGACCAGAAGCCAGGCGGUUUACCCAGCUCCCCGGGAGGGCGCGCCUGUCCCUCCCUUAAAUCCGAUUUCCUUACCAUCUGUUCCUUCACGUCAGCCUCGGCUGUAAACAAAGUUCAUGCUCAGCGAUGCACCGUGGUCCCGGGCAGCUCCCCUCGCUCCCUGAACACAGAGCCAGCCCUGGCCUGAGAGGCCGUGCACCUUGCUGCUAUCCAGGUGCCCUAACAGUGCAGACCGUGCGAGGGUUGGACAUACCUUUAGGAAUGGGAUUUUUAACUUCAUCUGGCAAACGUGCUACCAUAUAACCCGCUGGCUUUGAGAAUUCGGUGAGGAUGCACAUCUACAUGCAUCGGGAUGACUUAGCACACAGCAGAAGCUUUCUCUGCCCUCCAGAACACUCUGCAAUAUUUAUAAUGCAUUCUUCCCGGGAGAAGCUUGGAGCGCUCCACGGCUCUGAAUGGAUCCGGGCCAUCCUUUGACCGUCCCAUGAGUAAUGAGAGACGCAAAGCGAAGCCAACAAGGGGAAAAAAAAAAUUCCACGUUGAAAGAGGUCGCAGCCAUGGCAAAGGAGAAAACAACACUCGCUCGGCCUAGCGACAACAGGGAAAGUAAACCUUGUGACUUGUCGCUGAGUCGGACGGAGCCCAGGCAGCGACAGGAGUGGGCAGAAUUCACUAAAAAAGUAUUCGUUCUGGCCAUUGCUGAUUCAAAGUCCCCGCAUGGCAGGGAAAGGGAUUUGCCUGUUGUGGGGGCCCGCGCCGAGGGGACACGCUUUUGCUCAGUGGCAGCUGCGAGACGGGUGACCUGCAGGAUGACUGAGGAAGUGAGCAAGGGCACUGGGAACCUCUCGCUGUCAGCAGGGGAUGACGAACGUGGAGAAGGAAAGGCUGGAAUAGACCCUGUAAUGUCAGAUGGGAAGGGGCGGAAGUGACGCGGCCACGGACAGCCAGAGGCAAAGAUAUCUGGGUAGCAACAAACACCUACCGUACAAGACUAGGCUUCUACAUAUCAGUUAUUCUCCAGGUAAAGGAUGCAGGGUUUCUUAGAGGAAAGCUAGACUCUAGCUAGGGCUGCAGCAGGGAGCAUAGAAAAUAAGACAGGACCGUCUUGUCCUACAAAGUAAAGACGCUCAAAGAAUAAUGGGGACGCAUCAGAGACACAAAGGCUGCCUUAAAUGAGCUGCCCCUGGCCAGGUCUGGGACAAACCGAAUUCCACAAUAAGUGACAGUUACUGAGUUUUAACCGUCCGAGUAAAGUUGGAAGUGAGGAGUCCACAAUGACCAAACUUAAAAGAACGAAUGGAAGACAAAGGAGAGCUCCCUCAGAAGUCUCCAGGCAUCUCCGCACAGAACCCUCAGGACGGACGCAGGGGAGAAUCCUGUAAGGUGCUCGCUGCGCCACCAGUCACAGAAAGCCGGGAGUGGGCCAGAGGAUGUCACGCGCUUCCCGAGACAAUGGGAUGAGAGCGGGGCGUGACUUCUGAGGCGUCCUCGCGACAGACGCGUGAGUCACGGGAAACAUCAGACAAACCCCGACUGCGGGGCAUUCUACAAAGUCACCCCGUGCUUUGAAAAAUGUCAAGGUCAUGGUACAGAAGGAAAAACAGAGUACUUUUCCAGAACAAAGCAAAUUAAAGAGAAACGAGAACUAUAAAGGACACGGAGCCAUACGAGAUAUUAUAGGGACAAUAGGUGAGGUUGGGAUGGGAUGUGUGGGUUAUGGGGUACACCAUGGGUCAAGGCUAGUGUUCUAAGUCCCGAGGUUGCAUGGUGUAAGAGAAUAUCCUUGUCUACAGGAAAUACAAAUAUGUGCACCUAGAGGGUUAGGGGAGGUGGGGGCGUCGUGCCUGCCACUUUUUCUCAAACGGUUCAGCACACAACUUCAGCGUGUGUGUGUGAAGAAUGAAGCAGAUGUAAUAAAACGAUAACAACCGGUAAACUGAAUGAGAGGUG